rnacentral:rRNA from 1 species
GACCUCGGAUCACGUAGGGAUACCCGCUGAACUUAAGCAUAUCAAUAAGCGGACGAAAAGAAACCAACAGGGAUUGCCCUACUAACCGCAAGUGAAUCGGCAACAGCUCAGAUUUGAAAUCUGGCUCUCUUAGAGUCCGAGUUGUAAUUUGGAGAAGGCGCUGUGGCAUUGUCACCGAUCCAAAUUCCUUGUAACAGGACGUCACAGAAGGUGAGAAUCCCCUACCUGGUCCCUGGCUGUUGCCCUGUAAAACAGCUUCGAAGAAUACAGUUGUUUGCGAAUGCAGCUCUAAGGGACAAGUAAAUC